GAGGAGCCCCGCUCCGGGCAGGAGAUAGAGGCAGGGCGGCCGCGGCCGAUGCUGCGCUCAGUGAACACGCGCGAGCCGUCCCAGGUCAUCUUCUACAACCGCAGCCCGCGCGUGGUGCUGCCCGUGUGGCUCAACUUCGAUGGCGAGGUGCAGCCCUACCUGACGCUGCCCCCCAGCAUGGGCCGCCGAAUCCAUAGCUACCGGGGUCAUCUUUGGGUCUUCCUAGCUGCUGGGACAUCUGAUGGGCUUCUAGGUAACCAAACCGAGCUGUUUGUGCCGUCUCUCAAUGUUGAUGGACAGCCUAUUUUUGCAAACAUCACACUACCAGUGUACACCCUGAAAGAGUGGUGCCUCCAGGUUGUGCGAAGCCUAGUCAAGCCUGAGGAUUACAGGAGACUGGACAUUGUGAGAUCCCUCUACGAAGAUUUGGAGGACCACCCAAAUGUGUGGAAGGACCUGGAGCGGUUGCCCCAGGAGCAUAUUGAAAAUCAGUGGAUGGCAGAGGAGACUGAAGAUUUUAAUUGAAAUUUACACUCCUGGAUCUCGGCUUUUGACAGUCCUGACAAGUCUUGAUCUAGAUCUAGGGCUGGUCACUUUUUCUCGGCUUCAAAGUGUCUCAUUCUUGGAGUAAAAAUGCUCCAUUGCUUAAAAGAAAGUUAACUGACCUCACUACUGGGCACUGUGAUGUUUAAGGGCAAAUAUCACAAAAUGUAAUUUAAUGCCUGUCCCUUCUAGAAGUAUUUAUCAAGGGAAAGUAGUUGCAUUUUUGCCUCCUAGUGAGUCAGGAAAGUUUCUGUGUAAGGACUUUUUGUAAAUAAUUCAGUGAGAAUUGUAGCUUAUUCUUGAGUUGUAGGAAAGCAGUGGCGUCUGCUUUUCAUUCCUGUAUCAUGGUUGGUGAUGUGCCCGCGUCCCGCUCUGAGAGACCAAGAUGUCCUUGGGGCAGGGGCAUAUCCGUCUGCCCUUUGACGCUCCAGUACCUCGCACGUUAUGAGCCUUCCCUCAGUGUUUGUUGAAUGAACAUACCAGUGGCUACUUUGGUAGAAAGUAUUAGAGGUUUUCACCCUGUUUUUUGAGGACGGGUGGUAGUGGGGACCUUAAAGUAUAUACAGUAAACGAAUGUUUUCAAGGGCAUCAAUUUUAU